GCCCUCGGUGGCUCAGAGGGAUAGAGCGUCUGCUCUGUAAGCAGAAGAACCCCGGUUCGAGUCCUGGUCGGGGCA